rnacentral:misc_RNA from 1 species
GCUUCAUGCAACGGCCCGACCAUUCGAAAAGGGCCUCUGCGUUGAUUCUCACCAUCAAGCCUGAGCCCCAUCAGGAUAGCACCACUGUCGAAGGCACAGACACACACGGGCACGCCGUGUACCGCCUUACUCCCACCUUAGGCGAAGCAGCAGGAGAGUAUCUGCUUGCGCAUCCACACCUACAGUCACGUAUACCCUGCUUGACCAAGUGCAGCGAGCGCACCCCGCUCCUUCCCCGGUGAAGAUGGACUCGCAGGCGCCUUAUGGAGAUGUCGUUGACGAGGCGACAAUGGCCGUCCUCCCUGAGCACGGUCUCGUAUUUUCCGAGAUCAAGCAGAUGCAACUGCAGCUGUGCAAGCCGAAGCUGCUGCCCGUCAAGUCCUACUCGCUGGAGAAGCUCGAGAAGAUGGAGAAAAAGUUAGCACACGAGGUCAAGGAGAAGCGCGACGCAAACCGUGCACAAAAGCAGGCAGCACUAGUGUGGACAUCGGCAGACCUCACGGCCGGUGAAGGCAUCGAAACCAUCCCUGCACCGUCACCGCUAGUUACAGUGGCGCCAGCACCUCCCUCUGCGGCCCCUGCUGCAGCCUCGUCGGCCUCGUCGAGGGGGGCGGUGUCACAGGAGACGUUGAGCGCACCGGCGCACACGGAAGAGGAAGCCUGUGCCGACGCCCCUAUGAGUGCACCAGAGCGCAGCUCGCGAAUCUCGUCAUCGACUGACGUCUCUUCUUCCUCUCCUUCUCCCUCGGCGUCUACGACAGACUGAACGUAGAGCUAUAUGCGUGUGCGCUCAAUGGGAGAGCGCGUUGUCGAUGGAUGUGAUCACGCCUGCGGCCACACCCGAGUGAUGGAGGAGAGGGCGGCUGUCUGUUUCAACAAGAACACACGAAAAGAAAACAAGCUUCAACCUCACCCCUUAUCGAGUGUGACUUACUUCGCGGUGCGGCGGUGUGUUCAAUGAUCUCAGCCCCUUGGUGUACGCCUUUCCACCCCCGCCCUCCACCUCCACAUCUCGCCCCACCCUCUCCUCCUCGCCCCGCUCGUUAUUCCUUCUUGGGCACCACUUUCGCCUCUCUCCCUCGCUCCUGUCUUCGCAACACCGCUGUCCAUCCAUCAACGUCUGCGCACGUGUACGCACCGUGGCACACUCACAG